UCAUGUGAUUUAAUGUUUAAACACUCCUAGGCAAAUCCCUUAAUUUAUUUCCAAGCCUUUAGGGACAUUUUGGGGUCAUUUUGGCCUCAUUUAAGGUGUUUACGGCCUAAGGAGGAGCUUAGGCCGUAAACUCCUCUUCCAUAGCUUCUAAGUCCGAUUUUUAAGCUAUAAACACAAAUCAUAAUGUUUAGAAUAAGCUAGGGUAAGCGGACUUACGAUUUGGAAGCGUUUGGUUGCGGAUUCGGGGCGAAAACGAGUCUAGAGAGAGUAUAUAGAGAGAGAGGGUGGAAAAGCUCCAAAUGGAGUUUACUCCCCCUUAUAUAUGGGUGGGAGUUGGAGCUCAGUGGAAUUCUACCCAAUACUGCCGUUAUACGGGGCUUUUGGUCGCACCCGAUUUAGUGGUCGUAAUAAUAAAAACUAACUUUUUCCAAUUAAAUGGAAAUGUGUGUUAUGUGUUUUUAUUUCCUUUUAUCACGACUUAACGACAUAUUAAACAUAAAAAACUGAAAUGUUUAUUUAAUUGACGACCUCUAAUUAACGGAACUUUUAUAAACUGGAAUAUUCCGUUAACGGUAACGUGGAAAUGUAACGGGACAACUUGGGUUGUCACAUCAUCCCCCCGUUAGAGGGAAUUUCAUCCCGAAAUUCAGGUCUAGGCAAGGAAGUAGGUAUGAAUGGCCAAGUAGAAGUAAGAGAGUACUUCCUAUACGGUUUUCCUCGCAUUCCCAAGUGAACUCUAGUCUGUGUUUGUCAUUCCGACAGACCUUUACGUACGGGAUGCGGAUUUCGUCUAGUGUAGCUAGUGGGUUCCAACUGGUGUAUCUACAAGGUUAGGGUUCUCAAUGGAUUCUAUCAAGAUGAGUGAGGCACGAAGAGUGUUGUCGGGAAAUCACAUAUCAAGUCUAAGAAGUGGAUCGAUCGGGUGUGAAUCUCAUGGUAUAUCCGAAAGAAGUAGCGGCCUGAAAAGGGUUGGACCAAGUCUCCAUGAGGAUUUCUCGGAUGGUCCUAAGCUCUCGGAAUGGUAGAGCUUUUCAGCACUUAGAACGUAGUGUACUUCUAUGGCAAGAUCAUCACUGGCGUGAUCGCCAUUCCGAAGUUCUUAACGUUCUCACUGGUACUGGAUGUGUAGUCCUGCAGGUUGGUUCUUAGGCAGCUCGGGUGGUCUUUUGGUUUCGUGUUUCCUGUCAACUGGUUGAUAGAGACUUUCUAGGUCAUCGAGUGGGUUGCAUGACUAUGGUUAUCUGUUUGCUAUAGAGUGUCUAUCUCAAGCUCGUGCAAAAUGAAACUACACUAACGAUUCUUGAGAUACGGAAACCCUGAGGGUCGGGGAGACAGGGUUUCACCAGACGAGUGUUGGACUAUCUCGGGAGGUGGUUCUACUAUUUCAGGGCGUGAUAGUAUUCGUGGAACACCUAAUAGUCCAAUGAAUCUCUAAGAAUUUGGUUUAAUCUAGUGCGGAAAGCGCAUGCUCCUGCAUAAUCCCUCGACUAACACCAAGGCUGGUGUCAAGUCUAUAAUCUCUUCGGGAUCUGGGACAUGAGGCUUAACGCAACUACUUUCGCACUUUGAUCGAGUAUUCUUGGAUGCGGAGGUUAUCCUGUGGUUCUCGGUAUUCUAGUGUUUACUUCGGGGAAUGAAGUCUAUCGUCUACGGGAUGACGACGAUUUCCUCCAUACGAGAGGGUGGAGGGUUAUAGGCACUACUUGUCUGUAACAGGAUGGACGAAGUGCCUGAGUAGUGUGGGCAUCUACUGCAACCACUCUUCCGAAGGUUCUGAGUUUUCUCGGUCUAGGUCGAAUCUAGUGAGUAUAGGUUCCCAUCACUCGGAACUUUAAUCUUUUCAUCCAUUCUUUUUAGAGUUUACUUUAUCGCAGCUCUCGGAUUUCCGGGAUAUUCGCUGCGAUGCUUAAUUCGGGGGAUUAAGCGUGAAUGGAUGGUCGUAGUCAAUGUCCUUGACUUUUACGACUCAGAUUUCUUUACCAACCGAGGGUGUUAGCUACUAUGUUGGCUCAAGCGGAAUGACAACAACUUCGGAUUUGUGGUCAUUAUAGUAGCUCAACCCGAAGUGGUUCUCUUGACUCUAGCUCCCGUUCCAUGGGAUAGGAUGAAGGUCCUUUCUAAGGAAUCUACUAGGUAUGCUUCGGGUGGUUAUCGUCUUCUGGAGUAUCUACAGUGUCGUUCACUUCGGUGUCCAUCUGACUACGAGGGGUCGGUCAACAGCGUACGGUAUCCUCUCUUGGGUACUUCAGAAGGUUUGACAUAAGAGGGACGAUUGACGGAUCGCAUUAGGUUUGAUUAUUUGUGUUAGGUUUAGGUUCGGGAGAGCCUUUAUUUGCCGACAUGGCUACGGAGAAAGUUCUUUUUACACAGCACUAAGAAUGUACACAUGGUUGCACGAAGUCGAACCAUGAUCAAUAGAGUCGUCGAAGUUGGUACACUCCGACAUGGUGUAUAAUGAAGAUCGAUAGAGUAAUGUGCCGAACAGGCACACAAGUUCUAGGCGUCUCGGGUUUCGUCCUAUGUAUCACUACCGUGGAUACUUGGACCGAUAGAGUCAACGCGGAACUAUAGAGAGUUCUAAGUGUUUCCGAAUNUUUUCAUGAAUGGAUUCUCACGAGGCAUUUCUAUAAUCGCCUAACAUAUACUAGACAUAUAUAUUUAAGGUGGGGAGGACUGUUGACUGAGCGACUCCGCCCUAAAUCCACAACCCAACGAGGAACAGGAAAUGAGGCGGCAUUCACUCACUCUAGGUCUAUCCAUCUUAACUAUACAUGGCCGUAACGUAUAUGUUUAGCCAUUAUAGUUUUACCUAAUGAAUUUUAAAUUUUAUAACAGUGCUGCAACUUUCACCUUAAUGGGGAAGUAUUUACAUUAUGUAUUAGCCUUUUAAUGUUUUCGGUUUAGUUAUCUGAGAUCGAAAGACGUACCAAAAAUCCAUCGGGUUCCUUGAUGCUUCUACCUAAGCAUUAGAGUUAGACUUCUCCUGUGCCCCUGUCGUUUCUCCUGCAACAGUGAUUCUUAGUAUCCUCCCGUCUGUGCCGGAGUUCUUUAUUAUUGGACAAUCCUUUUUGAGGUGUCCCGUCUCACCGCACUGAUGACAUGGCCGGUUCGUACUAGUAUUGGUGGUAGGAGUGAGGUGCUUAUUCAGAGUUACAUGGACACGAGUGCCCUCCUCGUUUCUCCACUUCGAAAAUUUCCCUUUAAAGAGUCCGACCUUGACACCACUAUUGUGAGUAGGGUUGGACCCGAUGCCGGGGACUUCUGAAAGGGGUCGUGUUGGCGCUGGAGGGGUGGGAGUUUCCACUUGCUGUUGUUGCGCAACAAGUUUGUGGAGUUGUUGGCGCUCCUUUCGAGCAUGACGAUUCCGUUUCCUCCUCUCUGUUUUACCAUUUUGCCUGCUCGGGACUGUCGUCAUUGGUUGGCUUUCUAGGUUUGGUCUUGUAGGUGUUGGGAUGGAAGGGUAAGUAGGGAUAUUGACUGCCUCAGCUCGUUGCCCUUCGGAAGGUCCUUGAGCCGAGGUACUUCCUUCCUCAUUUUUGAACUUUCUCUUUAGUGGGGCUGGUUGAGUUUCUUGAAUGGUCGGGCAUGGAAGUGUGGGUUGCUGCGGUCCAUAGCUGGGGUUGGAAAUCCCCAUAAUGCCCUCGCUAACAUUGGCGUUGUUAGCAUUCAGUUGAGCCAUGGCAGCUGCAACGGCUGCCGAGACCGCAGCCCGGAAAGUAGCUUCAUCAAACAGGAGAGUGGGUUUCUUGCUUGCGGACUGGUUAUGCUUCUUCGGAGGCAUGGUUUUUCCUACACGGAAAGGAACACAAGACAAUGAGAGACGAUGGUUAACCCUGGACAUUUCUGUCGUGAACGUAUUAGGCAUAAAUUUUUCCCGUGCCUAGGGUACUGAUUGUCUGAGUGUCGACCUACAUCCCUAUGAUGUAGUCCUGGUAAUCAAGGUAGGAGUAUGAGUACCGGAAAAAGGCCAUAAGAUGCGAGUCGUUCCUACUAAGUUACCUUUAUACUGGGAAAGGUUUCACUCUCCGGCCUGGAGAGAUUUGAGAACGGUUCGGAACGAAACUGCGGAAAGAGAGGCUCACAAGGGCAGAUGGCUAAAAUUCUCUCAAUAGAGAUGCGGGGAUCUGCCCUAAUCGUGUAUCUGGCAAUGGGAAACGACGAUUUACCUAACACAUAGCGUGAGUAGUGUAACCACUAACUCACUAAAUUGUAUUAUUUUAUGGGUGUAUUAGCGUGACGAACACGAGGAAAAAGACACUUCUCGGGUUCCAUGUACUGGCUCCCGCUGUCUGCCUCGUAUCUUUGACUGGAAUCGGCGUUGGUUUCCUUUAGGUAGUUACCUAGGGUUCUCUCCUCGUAUGGACAUAUUGAAUCUCUACUCCGCCUUGCCUCCGAAUCUGACUCUGGGUGUCAUCGCUUCAUGACGGAUGACUGGAAUCUCGGAAGCUUAAGCGAAUCUCUCACCACUGUCCCUAAAAGAUAUAGGCACUUGAUGAAUUCAAUAGUCCCAACCCAGUUCAUUUAUUUCCGAACUGGAAAUCUUCUCAAUGAACUUCUUCGGGGUCGGAAUCAACUUUUCUGACAAGCACUGAAGAGGGUAGGGUUUUCUACAGGGUUCGUGCGAGAAUGGAAAUGUCUAAAGAAUCCUAAGAGAUUAUUAACAUUUCACUGGAUGAUCCAUAUCGAGUCCUGCUACGAUUACACAGGGUAUACAAAUCAUAUAUAGCUUAGAUCCGAUAGGCCUUCGAAUAUGUGAUACUACUCUAGAGCCACAUCCCAACGAGGAAAAGGAAAUAGAGCGAAACCACACAUUCUUAGCCUAUGGGAUCCUUAUUAUAUAUAACCUUGGGAGUAUACCCUCUGUAGUUGUAGGUAUAUCAAUAAGGAUCUUUUUAGUUCUUCACACAAGGUUAUCUAUGGAUCCUAAAAUACCCCUAUGGUAUUUUAAUUUCUUGUUUGUUUCUUAUCUUCUGAAUAUGAUUCUGGGAUUAAUGUGAGUCUUUUAGUAUUCCAAAAUACUCCCAUAGUAUUUUAAACUUUAUGUUUGGCUCUAGCAUUCCUAGUUGGUAAGUUUCAGACCUGUUGCAACACCACUAUCACUCCCAAGCACACGUUCAUCGCAUCUCGAAUAAAUGUAGUUGAUCAGGUUACAUUUAUUCCAGCUUACGAUUACAUAACUGCCCAGGUUUGACUGUAGUGCUCAACAUCCGAAGACUUUUAUUAUUGUUCUUCUUGUGAUACUUUUGUUCGAGUGUUUAGAUUCUGGAUGUUCUUAUACUUUGGUAAAAUAUGGUUAUAUUUUAAAGUAUAAUUCUUGGUCAGAGUGUUUUAUCCCUUUGUAUUUAUAGGCUGUAUAUCUUUUAUGAAUUGAUAUACUUAGCUCACUAUAAACAAUGCUCUGAUACCAAUCUGUCACACCCCAAAACCGGAACGGCGGAAACGUUCUGGGGUGGAUGACGUCAUGUCAAGUAUCACAACACAUGCAUUAUAGUAAUCAAAGUACAACAAAACAUUGCAUUAAUAGUAAUAGUUUUACAUGGUUUACAUUACAAUACAUCAAAGUAAUACAAGUAAAUAUAAUAAGUACAGCAUGGUACUAAGCUAUCUUCAUCAACAGCUCCGGGGAUGUACCUGUCUAAUGCUGACCUGAGAAUACAAGUUAUUUGAAAAGCGAGUAUCAGCAUUUUUACAAAUGCUGGUGAGUUCAUAAGUAUUUAGUGUCAUUUUAUUCAAAUAACUUUAAUAAAAGUGGUAGUUUUAGAGUAUCCAUUAAAUUAGUGUCUUUUCCAGAAAAUCCUAUAUUUUCUUUAAUAAAAGCAGUCUUCUACCAAGACUGGACGGAGUUAUGUGGUAAAAAGUAGUUUUCCCUUAAUCGCUAUCAUUAUCAAAAUACAGAAUUUGAUUAUUAAAGAAAGCAAGAGAAAUCAGGGAAAUAACAUAUGCCUCAGCAGUGAAGACUGCUGACUAAGGCAAAGGAAUCAUAGACUCCAGGAGAGUAUCGAACAAACGACACGCCUGGCUCAGUCUAACAAAGAGAGACACAGACCCCAGACGGUACCAAAUGAAAGGUACGGCUAGCAAGGUCUAAAAACAGAGACUACAGACCCCAGACAGUAUCAAAUGAAAGAUACAGCUAGUAAGGUCUAAAACAAAGAAUACAGACCCCAGACAGUAUCAAAUGAAAGAUACAGCUAGCAAGGUCUAAAAAAAGUGUGACUCUGAGAGUGGGUUUCCAGCAUACAGUGUAAAUUGCUGGUGAAAUACCGUUACCUUAAGGCCAUGAAUUAUAAGGUAACCUGGGAUACUCGUAACCAUACUAACCGACACUAGAGUACCUGACGCCCUACAAGCGUCUAUAAAAUAUGACAUUUGUCACCCCUUGGCUUGGUAGGCCGUGGACUGUAGCUAGCAGUCAGGGUGCGGGGGUGUCAAUCCCGUAUAGAUCUAUACACACAAUGUCCGCUCUCCCUACAGGAGACUCUGGUUACCAACUAGACGACGGAGAAGGCCGUGUCCCGAAGAUGCAUCCCAAAUAGUGGGUAGUGGGUUUCCAAUAUAAGUGUUGAACUAGAGGUAGAGACUCAUAACUGAACUGACUAGAGUAAACCUAUAUGUCUAUGCUCGUAUACAUAAUAUAUAACUAAUGAAUCAAACGACCUUCGGACGGACAUCCGAUCCCACCAGACCACAUCUCAACGAAGAAAAGGAAAUAGGGCGGACAAGCCUUCCUAAGUCCUUCAAUCAUUAUUUAUAUGCAUCUAUACAAGCACAGACAUACAUCUAACUACGUUUGAGUGUGUAACAAGUGGAAACAUAUCGUGAAGUAUAACCAAAUCGUGUGGAAUAACCGAAUCGUGAAGUAUAAGUGUACAGUGUGGAAUAACCGAAUCGUGAAGUAUAAGUGUACAGUGUGGAAUAACCGAAUCGUGAAGUAUAAGCGUUACCAAAUAUAAGUGUAUCACGAAGUAGAAGCGACAACAAGUGAAGUAAGAGCGUCUAAUAGGCAUAAGCGACUACAAGUAUAAGCGAAAUAGAGGCAAUAACAAGUAUAAACGCAUCACGAAGUGAAAGCGUUAUCAAGUAGGAGUUUAAACUAAGAGGGAGUAUCAAAACAUGGAAGAAAACCUUUAUACUUGAGAAAAUCACAACUUGGUGUUCUUUGGUAAAAUAAGUUUGAAAACCUUUAGAAAUUCUUUGGAAACUUUUCAUAAACCAGUUUAAAAUGAACUUUGAUAAAACAGUAUAAGUAAGAGUUUUGAACAAGUGAAAACAUUUUAGAAAACCAUUUAUAGUAUCCUACUUGGUAAAACAGUUUACAGUGUGGUAAAUCCUUGUGCAUGCGGGUUAUCAAUCACAUGUGAUUGAUAUGAUAACUGGCAUGUUUAACUUGUAUUCCCCCCUAUAAAACAUGUAAAAACAUUUAAAAGGUUCAUUCAGGGGUAUGAACUCACCUGGUGUAAGUAGGUCCGACGAAGGUGCCGUUUGGGCGUUCGGUGUCACGUAAGGACUCGAACACACUCAAUGACCUAUUUAACAUAUGAUAACAUAUGUUCACAUACAAUUAGUAUAUUUAAUACUAAUUAAACAAAUAUACGCACUCAAAGGAGCGGAAAACACUUUGGUUAAGUGUUUGGGGUGUCCCGGGUAGCGUCUAAAGGUGUGUAUGGCUUAGGAAUGGAGUUUACUAUCCGAGAGUAAACUCCCAAAGCUAUGUUUACGGCCCAGGGACAUCUCACCAUGAGUUUACGGCCGUAAACUCAUGGUGAGGGGUUCUAGUGUGUUUUAAGGCUUCUAACUUGUUCAUGGAAUUAUUCUAGGUCCAAAACUAUAUAGUAUGAGUGAGUUUAAGGUCUUUAAGGGCAUCUUAAUGGAGUUUACGGCCCAGGGACAACUCCUAAGGGAGUUUACGGCCGUAAACCCUCAUUCCUUGAGUAUAUUGAAGUUUCAAGCCCCUAAUACCUUGCUAGUAAUUUAUAAUGAAGUGUGAGGCCAUUUGGGGGAUUUAAAACUGCCUUUUUGGCAUGUUUAGGGGGUGUUGACGGCCUUGACACAUGUCUGGGCUAUAAACUCCCUUUACCCCUUCAUUUUAUUGAGUUUAAUUGUUCUAAACCCAAAAGGACAAGCCCCUAAUUUAUGUAUUAAGUCCAAGGGUGAUUUGGGAGUGUUUUUGGGGCUUUUUGACAUGAUUAAGAGGUGUUUACGGCCUUGGCAUAUGCCUUGGCCGUAAACUCUCUUUUACCCCCUAAAAUCAUGUGCUUUAAUGUUUAAACACUCCUAGGCAAAUCCCUUAAUUUAUUUCCAAGCCUUUAGGGAUAUUUUGGGGUCAUUUUGGCCUCAUUUUAGGUGUUUACGGCCUAAGGAGGAGCUUAGGCCGUAAACUCCUCUUUCACAACUUCCAAGUCCGAUUUCUAAGCUAUAAACACGAAUCAUAAUGUUUAGAAUAAGCUAGGGUAAGCGGACUUACAAUUUGGAAGCGUUUGGUUGCGGAUUCGGGUCGAAAACGAGUCUAGAGA
rnacentral:lncRNA from 1 species